AUGGCUUAUGCCUGCACCAUCGACCGACCAUGAUCUUCUGUGAAAGGUUUGAGUACGAGCAUACCUGUUGGGACCCGAAAGAUGGUGAACUAUGCCUGAGCAGGGCGAAGCCAGAGGAAACUCUGGUGGAGGCUCGUAGAUGUGCUGACGUGCAAAUCGCUUUUCGGACUUGGGUAUAGGGGCGAAAGACUACUAGUAGCUGGUUCCCUCCGAAGUUUCCCCCAGGAUAGCUGGAGCUUGAUCAGUUUUAUCGGGUAAAGCGAAUGAUUAGAGGUACCGGGGAUGAAACAUCCUCGACCUAUUCUCAAACUUUAAAUAGGUAAGACGUCUGGGUUGCUCAAUUGAACCCAGGCAUUCAAUGAGAGCUCCAAGUGGGCCAUUUUGGUAAGCAGA
rnacentral:rRNA from 1 species